GGCCCCUUGGUCAAGCGGUUAAGACACCACCCUUUCACGGUGGUAACAGGAGUUCGAGUCUCCUAGGGGUCA
rnacentral:tRNA from 1 species